UACUCCUACGGGAGGCAGCAGUGGGGAAUAUUGCGCAAUGGGGGGAACCCUGACGCAGCCAUGCCGCGUGAAUGAAGAAGGCCUUCGGGUUGUAAAGUUCUUUCGGUAUUGAGGAAGGUUGAUGUGUUAAUAGCACAUCAAAUUGACGUUAAAUACAGAAGAAGCACCGGCUAACUCCGUGCCAGCAGCCGCGGUAAUACGGAGGGUGCGAGCGUUAAUCGGAAUAACUGGGCGUAAAGGGCACGCAGGCGGUUAUUUAAGUGAGGUGUGAAAGCCCUGGGCUUAACCUAGGAAUUGCAUUUCAGACUGGGUAACUAGAGUACUUUAGGGAGGGGUAGAAUUCCACGUGUAGCGGUGAAAUGCGUAGAGAUGUGGAGGAAUACCGAAGGCGAAGGCAGCCCCUUGGGAAUGUACUGACGCUCAUGUGCGAAAGCGUGGGGAGCAAACAGGAUUAGAUACCCUGGUAGUCCACGCUGUAAACGCUGUCGAUUUGGGGGUUGGGGUUUAACUCUGGCGCCCGUAGCUAACGUGAUAAAUCGACCGCCUGGGGAGUACGGCCGCAAGGUUAAAACUCAAAUGAAUUGACGG
rnacentral:rRNA from 1 species